rnacentral:lncRNA from 1 species
UAACCUCAGACAGGAAGACAGUGAGCAGCACCUGCGUAACCUCACAGACAGGAAGUCAGUGAGCAGCACCUGUGUAACUUCACAGACAGGAAGACAGUGAGCAGCACCUGUGUAACCUCACAGACAGGAAGUCAGUGAGCAGCACCUGCGUAACCUCGCAGACAGGAAGUCAGUGAGUAGCACCUGUGUAACCUCACAGACAGGAAGACAGUGAGCAGCACCUGUGUAACCUCACAGACAGGAAGUCACUGAGCAGCACCUGUGUAACCUCACAGACAGGAAGUCAGUGAGCAGUACCUGUGUAACCUCACAGACAGGAAGUCAGUGAGCAGCACCUGUGUAACCUCACAGACAGGAAGACAGUGAGCAGCACCUGCGUAACCUCACAGACAGGAAGUCAGUGAGCAGCACCUGUGUAACCUCAUAGACAGGAAGACAGUGAGCAGUACCUGCAUAACCUCACAGACAGGAAGACAGUGAGCAGCACCUGUGUAACCUCACAGACAGGAAGACAGUGAGCAGCACCUGUGUAACCUCACAGACAGGAAGACAGUGAGCAGCACCUGUGUAACCUCACAGACAGGAAGACAGUGAGCAACACCUGUGUAACCUCACAGACAGGAAGACAGUGAGCAGCACCUGUGUAACCUCACAGACAGGAAGUCAGUGAGCAGCACCUGUGUAACCUCACAGACAGGAAGACAGUGAGCAGCACCUGUGUAACCUCACAUACAGGAAGACAGUGAGCAGCACCUGUGUAACCUCACAGACAGGAAGACAGUGAGCAGCACCUGUGUAACCUCACAGACAGGAAGACAGUGAGCAGCACCUGUGUAACCUCACAGACAGGAAGACAGUGAGCAGUGCCUGUGUAACCUCACAGACAGGAAGUCAGUGAGCAGCACCUGUGUAACCUCACAGACAGGAAGACAGUGUUCAACGUGCUUCAUUCAGAACAACCUUUGGUCCGACAGAAAACGAACAUUCAUUCAAACCAUUAUGUAACCUCUCUGUUGGAGUUAGAGGCUGGGGACAUUAAGAGGCUGGGGGCCUGGGACAUUAAGAGGCUGGGGACAUUAAGAGGCUGGGGGCCUGGGACAUUAAGAGGCUGGGGACGAUGUUGACAUUGGAACACUUUGUAACCUCUCUGUUGGAGUUAGAGGCUGGGGACAUUAAGAGGCUGGGGGGCUGGGACAUUAAGAGGCUGGGGACGAUGUUGACA